rnacentral:misc_RNA from 1 species
UUUCCUCCUCCCCUUUUUUCCCUCCCCUUUCCCUCUCCUCGGAGAGUAUGCCUGUUUGAGGGUCGUUAGAACAAAAAUCGAAGCGUCGCUCUUUUUUUUAAGGGUGAUCGCGUCGGAAUUGAGCCGUCUUUCAAAUGUUAAUGCAUGUCAAAGUGGCUUAAAAUUCAUCCAUCCGGUACGAUUAAAGCGUAUUUAAGAUCAAUUUUGAUUAAGAACGCGCGAUGAACGUACCAUCUCAUGUAGUACGUUUGACUUGACGUCGUCAGGUUCAUUCGUAUACGAUACUCAAACUUUUGACCU